GACCUACUGCAGAUACUGAGGGGGGAGUCAAGGGUCUGGGACAAAUUGCCAGCAGACCAGUAGGGGGCGACAAUGAGCUUCAGCCCUGAAUGCACACCUCUCUGUGCUGCUCUGUGUCACACACAGAACCCAUAGCAGAGCUGCUGCUGAACCACACACACUACUGUACCACAACUUCACAGGAAACACACAUUAUCAUUUCACAAGUAGCAAUGAUCACCAAGGCCUUCACCCUAAGCAGAGGAUGUGUACUUUCUCCUAGAGGAGGAAUGAGUGGGAUUUCAAAUGAACUGCUGUCUGAAGGGUAUUUUAAGUUGAAUACAUACAUCAGUGUUUAUGUAAUUAAAGGUGUUUUUGUUCAGAUGGGAUCCUGGUGACAGCUCAGCCACAAUGCACUGAAUUGCAUAAUUUAUUUUCUGCAACAGUAUUUCUUUGAUUGGCACGAUCAUCUUUUGUUUCUAAGUUUCAAAUUUUCUCAUUAGUUAUUCAAUUUAAACACAACAUUGCAUGAUACGGCAUGAAUAGAAUUCCAUAACAAGCUCCCGUAUUAUUCAUUUGAUCGUUUUAAACUCAAGGGAUAUCAAUGCAUUCAUUUUGAACCCGAUAUCCCUUGAGCUUAAUGCAUUCAAUUGCACAGGCAUCCAUUAUAUUUCAGGCAUGGAGUUAGUACUGGGUUAGUAUUACCAAAACCUGUUAGUGUUUGCUGAAUAAAUGCAGCAUUGUGUAUCUGGAAAUUUGAAGGAUGGAAUAUAUGAAAGUGAGAAAACCCCUCAGAUACCCGUCAAGUGUCAAGGUCACCAACUGUAAGAGACCCCUCUGAUGCACCAAACAGCAGAAGUAUCUGAGUGGAGAAGAAAUGGGUGCACUCUUACCUGGUGCUACAUGGAACAGGACUAAUUUAAUAUUAUUUCAAUUAUUUGACUCCAAAAUAAUGUUUUAACCUGUAACCUAACAGUUAUGGGGACCUAUUUUUCUCCAUUCGAGAAGUGCAACAUAUACAAUUAAAUUUUUCAGUCCAUGAAAUCACAAGGAAACAUUUAAAUGACUAAAACAUUCAUUGAAGCCACUGAAAAUUUUAAAAUGGAGAAAAUACAAUUUUUUGGCCAAUCUUUGGAGAAUGUGAAAUACAAAUAGAAAUUGUAAUCAUCAAA